rnacentral:rRNA from 1 species
UACGUAGGGUGCAAGCGUUGUCCGGAAUUAUUGGGCGUAAAGAGCUCGUAGGCGGUUUGUCGCGUCUGCUGUGAAAACUGGGGGCUCAACCCCCAGCCUGCAGUGGGUACGGGCAGACUAGAGUGCGGUAGGGGAGAUUGGAAUUCCUGGUGUAGCGGUGGAAUGCGCAGAUAUCAGGAGGAACACCGAUGGCGAAGGCAGAUCUCUGGGCCGUAACUGACGCUGAGGAGCGAAAGCAUGGGUAGCGAACAGG